ACUUCCUCCUUCACCAGACCGUUCAUGGCUGUUACGGAGGAAGGUGGGCUGAUGUCGGCUGGGUAUGAUAUUUGCUGCUGAACAGUUUUCAUAUCACUCUGUACAGAAUAAAUACGCCAUCAGUAGGCUGACCUGGAAUGCCUGAGCGGUGGUCACUACACAACGCAGAGUCAAACAAGUAGCACGCCUGAGGCCGGCUACA